AUGGACCAAUCCAUCCCUUUUUCCCGUGCAUAUGCAUCGGACUCCGAUGACGAUGGGCCCGAUGAAGAAGUUGAUGAGGAGGGGUUCACGCAGAAGGAGGGCCAAGCAUUUAAGAAGGUAUUCGGGCGGGAUCACAAGACACCAAUGUUCAAGGAUCUUAGUCUCGCGGAUGAAGCCAUUGCAGAUGGUGGCAAAUGUAUAUCUCUUGGAGCUAGGCCAAGUUCUCACCGUGAUUUGGAAGACGGCAAGAACAGGAUAUAUCCCGGUUGUGAGUUUGAAUCCUUCUUGGAAUUGAAGAUGUGGCUCGACAACUACUCGGUUACGCAUUAUCGUCCACAUAGAGUGGCCAACUCGGAUGUCAAUGUGCGUUACACGGUUAAAUGUGAAGUGCCAAGAUGUCCAUGGAUUGUGCGUGCAAGGCCAUGGAAAGGAGGUCCCACUUGGCGCAUAGUGACUUGUGUACCAAGUCACAUGUGUUGA
rnacentral:rRNA from 1 species